rnacentral:rRNA from 1 species
UAAGGAAUAUUGGUCAAUGAAGGCAACUCUGAACCAGCCAUGCCGCGUGCAGGAUGACUGCCCUAUGGGUUGUAAACUGCUUUUGUCAGGGAAUAAACCUUUCCACGUGUGGGAAGCUGAAUGUACCUGAAGAAUAAGGAUCGGCUAACUCCGUGCCAGCAGCCGCGGUAAUACGGAGGAUCCAAGCGUUAUCCGGAUUUAUUGGGUUUAAAGGGUGCGUAGGCGGUCUUAUAAGUCAGUGGUGAAAGACGGCAGCUUAACUGUCGCAGUGCCUUUGAUACUGUAGGACUUGAAUCUAUUUGAAGUGGGCGGAAUAAGACAAGUAGCGGUGAAAUGCAUAGAUAUGUCUUAGAACUCCAAUUGCGAAGGCAGCUCACUAAGUUAGUAUUGACGCUGAUGCACGAAAGCGUGGGGAUCAAACA